CACGUAGGGCGCAAGCGUUGUCCGGAAUUAUUGGGCGUAAAGAGCUCGUAGGUGGUUUGUUACGUCUGCUGUGAAAACCUAGGGCUUAACCCCUGGGCUUGCAGUGGAUACGGGCAGACUAGAGGUAGGUAGGGGAGAAUGGAAUUCCUGGUGUAGCGGUGAAAUGCGCAGAUAUCAGGAGGAACACCGGUGGCGAAGGCGGUUCUCUGGGCCUUACCUGACACUGAGGAGCGAAAGCGUGGGGAGCGAACAGG
rnacentral:rRNA from 1 species